GGCUCGCCGUUGAGUGGCUGCGGUGGCAGUCACUCCGAACGCUUUUGUUUUCUAAGGGGUACGCCUAUUCUAGCAAGACUGGUUGAGGUGUCUGAGCCCCGCCGACCCUUUCCCGGGGAAACACGUAGAGGCUGGUACCCGGGCGCGGGAGACGCUCACCCCCUGUUCCCGUGAAGGACUGCCCUUCGGAACAAGUCGGCGCCAGAAGAUCAGUGGUGUUCCAAGUGACAUCUUUUCCCUCCAAGAGGGCAUUUGGCAGUGUCUGGAGAUUUUUUUUUUGGCUGUGACAACCAGGAGGUGCCGACUGUCCCCUAUAUGGGAAGGUCAAGGUUGUGUGACCUGGGACCUAAGACUUCUGAGGUCAUAGCUGGGAUGUUCCAACGUGCCUCCCUGAAGCACUGAGCCUGGAUGAAAGCAUCUGCAGAUAACAGCUCCUACCUGAAUAAGGGUGAGUAAGAGCCUACGAGGCCUCAGGACCCUUGUAGAGAGUUCAGUGGUGCUCUCUGUCUUCAUUUGGGGCCUGGGCUUGAAGAUCCUUGAAUUUGCCCAGGCUGUCACCUGCAGUGUUGGAAGCAAGCCGACCUGAGUAGGAAUUUCUACCUUACCUUGACCUUGGGCAUAAUUUAGCUUCUCUGAGCCUCAGUUACCCCAUCUGUAAAAAUGGGCAUAAUAAUAAUAUGACAUGUUUAAAAGCCCCUCUUAAAUGCAAAUUAAUAUGUAUUGAGUGCCCUCUGUGUCUAACGUGCUGUGUAACCUUGAAAAGGUCUUUACCAUUUCUGGACCUCCAUUUUAUCCACACUUAAAAUGGGGAGAAUAAGGGGACUUACCAGUGGUUCAGUGGUUAAGAAUCUGCCUUGCAAUGCAGGGGAAGUGGGUUCAAUCCCUGGCUGGGCAACUAAGAUCCCACAGGCCACGGGCAACUGAGCCCACACGCCACAACUAUUGAGCCUGUGUGUCCUGGAGCCUACAUCAGCUAAGACCCAACAUAGCCAAAUAAAUAAAUAAUUUUUUAUUU
rnacentral:lncRNA from 1 species